GCUCUGUUGGCUCAGUUGGUUAGUGCACGGAAGUCUGCCUUUUAGCCGAACCCUCGAGGUCGCGCGUUCGAUUCUCUCAGGAAGCA